CUGGUAUGUACUGGUCUCACUGAUUCCUCCCUCUUGACGAACUGUAAUGUCAUUAAUUUGGUGUUGCGGGAAAUCAGGACUGUUACUUUGAAAAAAUUAGAGUGUUUAAAGCAGGCUAACGCUUGAAUACAUUAGCAUGGAAUAAUGAAAUAGGACGUUAAUCCUAUUUUGUUGGUUUCUAGGAUCGACGUAAUGAUUAAUAGGGAUAGUUGGGGGCAUUAGUAUUCAAUUGUCAGAGGUGAAAUUCUUGGAUUUAUUGAAGACUAACUACUGCGAAAGCAUUUGCCAAGGAUGUUUUCAUUAAUCAAGAACGAAAGUUAGGGGAUCGAAAACGAUCAGAUACCGUCGUAGUCUUGACCAUAAACUAUGCCGACAAGGGAUCGGAUGAUGUUAUUUUUAAUGACUCAUUC
rnacentral:rRNA from 1 species